rnacentral:lncRNA from 1 species
UGUUGUUAUGUGCUGAGUCAUGCACACAUGUUUUGGUGUGCUUGGGAAUAGUACCACAUGUUGGGAGAUUCCGUCCUUAGAGGCGAUGCCGUCACUAGGGCGAUGAUGUGGGUAGUAACGCGUGAUAUGCAUGGAUGGGGUGUCUGUGUAUGUGGGGUGUAUAGCUUUAAAUUCUUGUUCUGCAUAAUCAUACUGUGGUUGGGCUGGAAUGAAUUUUCUGCAGGUA